UAUUGCACAAUGGGGGAAACCCUGAUGCAGCGACGCCGCGUGAGUGAAGAAGUAUUUCGGUANGUAAAGCUCUAUCAGCAGGGAANNCCNNNANGGUACCUGACCAAGAAGCCCCGGCUAACUACGUGCCNNNANACGCGGUAAUACGUAGGGGGCAAGCGUUAUCCGGAUUUACUGGGUGUAAAGGGAGCGUAGACGGUGAUGCAAGUCAGAAGUGAAAGCCCGGGGCUCAACUCCGGGACUGCUUUUGAAACUGUGUAACUGGAGUGCAGGAGAGGUAAGCGGAAUUCCUGGUGUAGCGGUGAAAUGCGUAGAUAUCAGGAGGAACACCAGUGGCGAAGGCGGCUUACUGGACUGUAACUGACGUUGAGGCUCGAAAGCGUGGGGAGCAAACAGG
rnacentral:rRNA from 1 species